rnacentral:rRNA from 1 species
GAUGAACGCUGGCGGCGUGCCUAAUACAUGCAAGUCGAGCGAACAGAUGAUGAUCUUGCUGCUCUGACGUUAGCGGCGGGCGUGUGAGUCACGUGUGUAUAACCUACCUAUAAUACUGGGAUAAUUUCGGGAAACCGGAUCUAACACCGGAGAAGAUAUUGAACCACAGGGUUCAAUAGUGAGAGUCGGCUUUUCGGUCACGUAUAGAUGGUUCUGCGCCGCUUUAGAUAGUUGUGAAGUAAACGGGUUUCCAAGGCAACGAUGCGUGUCCGACCGGACGGAGUGAUAGGCCACCUUGGAACUGAGCCAGGGUCCAGACUCCUACGGUACGGCGCAGUAGGGAAUCGGCCGCAAUGGGCGAAAGCAUGACGGAGCAACGGCGCGUGAGUGAUGACGGUCUUCGGAUCGUAAAACUCUGUUAUUAGGGAAGAACCACUGUGUACGUAAACAUGGCCGUAUUGACGGUACCUAAUCAGAAAGCACCGGCUAACUACGUG